rnacentral:lncRNA from 1 species
GGGGCCUUUGUGCAUCUCUGCUCCUACAGCUCAGGGCUGGGAGUGGCUUACACUGGGGGAAUAUGUGAUCCCUGAGCCUGGGUAGUGGCUACUUUGUCAGGGUGCUUUGUGCCACCUUCGUCCCCUUCCAGAGCUUUCUGUCUGUGUGGAUGAGUAGGGUAGGAACUGGCAUGAAAGGUGGAAGAGCAGGUGGUGGCAGCC